AUGGGGAUCGCCAUGGUUGGGAAAGAACAGAGUCGGCAGCAAAUUUUCCCUCCAUUUAUUUCUAAUCCUGGUUUUGGUAUUUGUUGGCACUAACUGGACCAGCAACGUGCCAUAUAUUCAUUCUGUACACGAAGUGUCUACUAAGACAAAAAAAAAUCAGAUUCACAAAUCGGGGUCAUUGGAUUCACGAACCAACCGACGGAUUCAUGGGAAGUGGCGAAUCGAGCGAACCUGGCAAUUAUGAUUCCCAGGCUAUUUAACUUCUCAAAACUAUUCCAGGAAGAGGUUGAUAAUAAAUUUCCAAGAAAUAUUCUAUUGUUCGGAAGUUUCAAGAUGUCCUGUUUGAAAAUCAAUGAAUUUGAAUUUGAUCAACAUCUUGUUGUAAGCCAAGUUUAGCCAUGUAUAUCCUAGGAAUAAGAUUUUUUUUCCCCAUUUUCUGUGGAAGGCCGAUCAGACAGCUUGAAAAGAUGAUCCAUUUGAACUAGUUCCCAGAUGGGGGGCUGAGUUAGGAUAUGCGCCGAAAAAACUUAACAAAGGGAUAUCAGAACUGCUGAAGAAUUUAUGAAGAGAUAGCAACCACAUUUUAUUUCCCUCUUAAUAUUUUUAUAUUUUUCUGGCUAUGCAUUUCCUGCAAGUUUAAGAUGCCAUCACUUCAAUGGUAUUGUAGAACUUUGAUUUGGAAGUAUGACUUAUUUAUUGUUUGGGCUUGCUUGUUUGACAAUUAUAGUUGAAUGAUUACGCCAUGGCAACAUGUGAAAAUAUCUGUGCUUGUCCUAGAGAAUUGCAUCUUCCCCGAUUAGCAAGCCGAAACAUUUUUUGAGAAUAUAAACAAUGCACUUUUUACCUACAUAUUUUAAGUGGCCUGCCUUUUCUCUGAAGUGAGUUGCAUUCAUUACAAAUCUCUUAAUCAGGUGGUGCAGUUCUACUACUGGAAAGCACCUGAGUUGGCAGCAAGGAGAAAACAGACUGCUGGUGGUUCAGAAACAGUUUGCAAUCAUACUAUACAAAUACAACAAUCAAGAGGAAUGAAACUACCAUUGCCGUGCGACCAUGGCCUUGCACAAACCAUAUUUGGAUCUUAUGACAAUAUGGAGUUUGCUUUUGAAUGGAGCGAUUUUGUGUUAGCAGUUGCUAUGUGGGAGAGUUAUUCAGAAGAAUUGAAGAGAAAGUUGUCAACAUUUCUGCCCUUUUGGCUGUCCAAUGAAACAAUUUUUGUUGUUAAUUCCUCCGAAACCCAGGUAUAUUGUGAAGGGAAUUCAGCACUGACCUGAUGAUAUGGAAAUAUAGCAUAACGAUAACAUAAAUAUGACGUUAUCUAGCAUUAAUCCAACAAAUCUUUGGAGAGUCUUGGAUUUAAAUGUUAGCUCUUACCUGUUCUAUUUUGAAGAACGUUCUAUAUGAGUCGUCAGUUACCUUGCAAGCAGGUUAUAUUUACUUUUUGCCUGCGUUUUCACAAGUGUAAAUUUAGUAUACUAUUUAUAGUUUUCAUGCCUGAUGUAAUAGUUUUUAGUACUUCUUUCACUCUUAAUAGUCUUGCACUCUUGUUGAAUCCUUACCAAUAUGCAAAGGUGACUACUUAGUUUAUAUGCCAUCUCUCUAAAUGUGUAUCACAUAAGUAAAUCCCUGUGACUGUUUUAUCCAUCAGAAGUUCAGAACCAAUGAAUGAACACCAACAUACUUGUACAGAAUUCACAGCCAGUCUAAUAUUUAUUCAGCAGCGAACCACACACCAUAAUUAAUGCCAAUCUAUUUCCUUCUCCACUGUUACCACAGUAGCACAUUCAAUUUUUUACAAAUAGCAUAGCCGAGCUAAUUCUCUGCCAUGGUCUGCAUCUGCCUCAUUUUUCAGUGACAUAGAUGGAGGGCUGGAGGUGGCUUAUUUUACUUGAGCUCCACUGGUACAAGAUGUUCCCAGAAACAUCAUAAAAGAUGAAGUCAGCUUGGUCCUGGUUUAGCUGGAGGGACAUGAACCCUUGUCCAUCAUAAAAGAACUGGAGAUUAUCAUCAUUUGGCUGGUAGACCCCUCGCCAUGCUUUUGAACCACCUCCACUAGUGAAGUAUUGGAUUGGACUGGAACAACAGAUGCGGUUGCAUUAAGGUUAGACAACUUCCCGUGCAUGUUCUACUCUAAAAAGAACGAUUUAUAUCAAACGAUGUUAACCUGUCUUUACUGCUAAUGUGUUCCAGGCAGUGGUCGUGCCCAUUGAUAUAGAAGUCAAUGCCGUUAACCUGGAAUGGCAUGAAAGUAUCAUAAAAAGAUCAUUUGUCUGGACUUUUUAAACUAAUAGUGAGGCUACUUGAAUAAACCUUGAGGACGGGAAGAAGCAAUUGCAGUAGCUCCUUGGUGUCCCCGUGGUCACUGACACUCCUCAUG
rnacentral:lncRNA from 1 species